rnacentral:rRNA from 1 species
AGUGAGCGCUGGCGGUAGGCCUAACACAUGCAAGUCGAACGGCAGCACAGUAAGAGCUUGCUCUUACGGGUGGCGAGUGGCGGACGGGUGAGGAAUACAUCGGAAUCUACUUUUUCGUGGGGGAUAACGUAGGGAAACUUACGCUAAUACCGCAUACGACCUACGGGUGAAAGCAGGGGAUCUUCGGACCUUGCGCGAUUGAAUGAGCCGAUGGCGGAUUAGCUAGUUGGCGGGGUAAAGGCCCACCAAGGCGACGAUCCGUAGCUGGUCUGAGAGGAUGAUCAGCCACACUGGAACUGAGACACGGUCCAGACUCCUACGGGAGGCAGCAGUGGGGAAUAUUGGACAAUGGGCGCAAGCCUGAUCCAGCCAUACCGCGUGGGUGAAGAAGGCCUUCGGGUUGUAAAACCCUUUUGUUGGGAAAGAAAAGCAGCGGGUUAAUACCCCGCUGUUCUGACGGUACCCAAAGAAUAAGCACCGGCUAACUUCGUG